GUCACUUUGGCGGAGUGGUUAACGCGCUGCCCUGCUAUGUACACUAACUACCAGCUGGUGGGUUUAGCGGAUCAAGGCAGUUCCCUCGGGAGCGUAGGUUCGAAUCCUACAGGUGACG